rnacentral:rRNA from 1 species
UUGACUGGGGCGGUCUCCUCCCAAAGAGUAACGGAGGAGCACGAAGGUGGGCUAAUCACGGUUGGACAUCGUGAGGUUAGUGCAAUGGCAUAAGCCCGCUUAACUGCGAGAAUGACGGUUCGAGCAGGUGCGAAAGCAGGUCAUAGUGAUCCGGUGGUUCUGUAUGGAAGGGCCAUCGCUCAACGGAUAAAAGGUACUCCGGGGAUAACAGGCUGAUACCGCCCAAGAGUUCAUAUCGACGGCGGUGUUUGGCACCUCGAUGUCGGCUCAUCACAUCCUGGGGCUGAAGUCGGUCCCAAGGGUAUGGCUGUUCGCCAUUUAAAGUGGUACGCGAGCUGGGUUUAGAACGUCGUGAGACAGUUCGGUCCCUAUCUGCCGUGGGCGUUGGAAGAUUGAAGGGGGCUGCUCCUAGUACGAGAGGACCGGAGUGGACGAACCUCUGGUGUUCGGGUUGUGUCGCCAGACGCAUUGCCCGGUAGCUAAGUUCGGAAUUGAUAAGCGCUGAAAGCAUCUAAGCGCGAAGCGAGCCCUGAGAUGAGUCUUCCCUGAUACUUUAAGUAUCCUAAAGGGUUGUUCGAGACUAGAACGUUGAUAGGCAGGGUGUGUAAGCG